GCUGAAGUGCAGUGGCAUGAUCACGGCUCACUGCAGCCUCCACCUCUCAGGCUCAAGUGAUGCUUCCACCUCAGCCUCCUGAGUACCUGGGACUACAACUGUGGGACACAGUACUUCUUCUCUAGGCUACCCAUGGGGUACCCCAACAGCGUUGCCACCACAUACAAUCUUCAUAGAGCUCUUAACUGCAUCCAGCUUUCUCCAGGAGCUCAGGAUGCCCCAGACCCUCAUCGCAGACAGCAUUGCCCUGGAGCUUAUGGCUGGAGAUGAUAUCACCACAGACAUCCCCAACCCAGCCCUGUCCUGGGAGCAGGAUUCUGGCCUCCCUAUUAGGCCUCAGAAACUGGCUGACCACCUGGCUUCACAAACCUGUGUGUUUUCAGGGAAAAUUUUGAUCUCUACAAACCAUGACAUGUAGAGAGGGACACACAUCUGAUUCAGCAGUCCCUGAUCCGCUGAUCCAUGGACACAUUUGCCCACAAGGAAUAACCUAGAAUUUCUCUCUGGUGGAGGUCAGGGGCAUUACAUGAGCUGAGUAGAGCUUAGUUUUUAAUCACUAGACAUAGGCAAGGUGUUUAAGUUAUUACGCUUCCAAGCAGCAUGGUCCUCACUCACUCAAGGUGAGAUAAAUAUUGCUGCAAAGGAACAACAGCUGCAUUGUUGGAGUUUUGCUUUUGAGGCGUGUGUGUGUGUGUGUGUGUGUGUGUGCAUUUGUGUGUGUGUGCGUGAGUUGAUUUCUUUCACAAAAUACAUUUUCACAUACUUCCUUACUCCAAUCUACAUUGCCCCUUCCUUUUAAAUAAAUUUUUUUGAAAACUAA